GGCUGUAGCUCAGUGGUAGAACGCCUGCCUCGCAUGUGUGAGGCACUGAGUUUGAUCCUCAGCACCA
rnacentral:tRNA from 1 species